UACGGAGGGUGCGAGCGUUGUCCGGAUCACUGGGCGUAAAGGACGCGUAGGCGGCCUGAUAAGUAGGGGGUGAAAUCCUGCGGCUUAACCGCAGGGCUGCCUUCUAAACUGUCAGGCUAGAGCACAGUAGAGGCAGGUGGAAUUCCCGGUGUAGCGGUGGAAUGCGUAGAGAUCGGGAAGAACAUCAGUGGCGAAGGCGGCCUGCUGGGCUGUUGCUGACGCUGAGGCGCGACAGCGUGGGGAGCAAACAGG
rnacentral:rRNA from 1 species